rnacentral:rRNA from 1 species
AACGAACGCUGGCGGCGCGCCUAAUACAUGCAAGUCGAGCGAGAAGACGUAGCAAUACGUUUGUAAAGCGGCGAACGGGUGAGGAAUACAUGGGCAACCUACCCUCGGGUGGGGAAUAACUAGCCGAAAGGUUAGCUAAUACCGCGUACGCUCCUUGGACUUCGGUUCAGGGAGGAAAGCGAUACCGUGGGUAUCGCGCUCUUGGAUGGGCUCAUGUCCUAUCAGCUUGUUGGUGAGGAACGGCUCACCAAGGCUUCGACGGGUAGCUGGUCUGAGAGGACGAUCAGCCACACUGGCACUGCGACACGGGCCAGACUCCUACGGGAGGCAGCAGUAAGGAAUAUUGCGCAAUGGGCGAAAGCCUGACGCAGCGACGCCGCGUGGGGGA